rnacentral:misc_RNA from 1 species
CAGCUAGUGGGAUUGAACAUCAGCCUGGUCGGGAAGAUCAUAUAACUGGCAACAUGGCUGAUUCUUCAAUGCAAAUAGUGGUGGACCCGGUGGAAUAUUCAAACGAAGUUGUUUCACAUCCUGUAACGCAUCUUGCACAUCAUCUGCCCAGUGAAAUUCCUCUUGGUAGAUCAGGGAUGCAUGCUUCAGACACAAGGACUGUACCAAUUUCUUCAGGAGUUAAUAAUCGUACUGCACAAAUCAUACCCCCUUUCCAAGUGCCCCCUCUGCCUUUGUAUCAUGAUCCUCUUCAAAUUGAACUGGAGAGAUUACGCAAAGAAACAGAC